GGCGUGUUGUUCGUUGAGUAUGUUUUGUUAUCGCUGAUGUUUUUCUAGGCGUUUUAACUUCAUGUCAACAUUUAUAAGAAGACGAAUGUGAACAACACGGCGCAUGGAAGGCACGGACACAUGGGUUACGGCGCUGGAGGCUUGGAAGAGUAUGGGAGGAUCGUCUCCGACGAUGGUAGGUCAUCUGUAGCACAACUGCAAGGCAAGCACGCCUCGUUGGAAAGCAUCUGACAGUAGAAUUACAAGCGCAAGUCAUGGAUGCCUUUCACAGUGGCUUGUACCUUUGGCUGGGACUCC